GUUUAUGUCCUUACGUUAUAGGACGGGUCAUUAUAAAUUAUGCCUUUCGAUUAUCGCAACGCCUCGUCGCGUUUGGUUAAGCACAUGGUGGAACAGUAUGCACAUCACUGUACCUAACGUACUGUACACCUGUGAGCGGCAUGACGAGACAAAAGACGGUAAAACUCAUUAUUAAUCGGUGAUGCUGUACAUUCUGGAUGAUGCACAGCCACAUUUUAUAAUACUGUUUUUUAUUUUCGUGUCGCGCCGCUCGCGUUCAAUAUAAAGUUAGACAAGACGCAAUUAAUUACUUAGAGAGUAGUGGUCUAAUGUUAAGAGUCGAACUUCACAAACCUUUCACUGCUUGCAGUAAGGCUAAAGUGCUACGUGAAUAAGAUGGGUGUAGUUUUGUGCUACUAGCUGUAAAGUGUUUUUGCACUAUUGAGUAAUAAAUACUGCCCAGUAAUACUUAACUAGAUGUAAAUCACAAUUCUUGUGUCAAUGUUUGUUUGUAAUCUUUUUCAGCUAUCCAUCUGAAAAAGAAAAGCUGGCACUCUCAAAGGAGAUUGUGUUGUUGGAUUAUGGUCUCAUUUGGUCAAAAAGAGGGACAUGUACCGUAAGGAUGCUUUUACAUACUUCAUUUAUGUUGGAUUUAUAAAAAUGAGAUUACAGAACAUCAGACGGUAGCUUCAACAGAGUUGAAGUGGGAGGACAUCAUCAAUAAAGAAUGCCAUUGACCAAACCUUCAGGCAUCAAAGAAGAUGGAUACAGGGGGACAUCAAGUUUUCCAGACUUACCGAUGGGAAAGAAGAAAUGGGAAUGUGACAAUUAUUGAGAAACUCAGGGAAAAAGCAUCUUUAGAGAAGAAAAUGGACAUCAGACAUUUAUUGAAGAAAGCUGACAGUCAACAUAAUGAUGAGAGCUGUGUUAUACAAUGUUAAGGAUACUCGUUCAUCUUCUGCUGUGUGAAUUCUGCUGUGUCAGUCCUGUGGGACUUGAUGCCGGCUGGUACCAGUGUGACGUCUUUGCUUACUAAAUGAUCAAAGGGUGUCUGAAAUCAGCUCAGCCACAGUUGGUUUCCAACGGUUCUUCAGGACAUGGAGGCCACUACGUAACUGUUGCAAUGAACGAUUCUUUUGCCUUUCCACCUGAUGUUGACAAUCUGACCUGUGCGGUACUGAAAGCAACUUAUAUCUUAAAAUAUAUCAGUGCCCUUUGUUUUGCCUCAAAAUGCACACCAGUAAUGUUUUUUGUUGAAACCAGUUAUAUUUCCUAAUUAAACUAAGGCCUAGUCCUGGAUUAAGCUAAUCCCCUGUGUGGGAAACCGCCCCUUAAUGUUUUGUGACGGAAAUUUCUUUGAAUACACUUGUCAAGUUCAUUUUAAGUAUUUUUCUAAAUGUAAGAUAACAUGUUAAUGUUUCAGGACAAGUUAAAUUUUUUUGAUACUUGCAUGUUGGAAACGAUUUCAGACAUUGUUCUAUUCAACAUGUUUAACACAGUUGCUUUUAAAUUCAAUUAAUUAUUUUAUAAAUAGUGUUUUAAAACGUAUCAAUGUAAUGUAUGUUUGAAGUAAUUAUACUUGCACUUACAUUUAUUUAAAUUAGCAUACAUCUAGCAACAUAAAGUGCUAGCAUAUUUUCAUGCA